rnacentral:rRNA from 1 species
ACGGGUGAGUAACGCGUGGGAUAUCUACCCUAGAUGAGUGGAAUAACUCUCCGAAAGGAGAGCUAAUACCGCAUAAUCCGGAAACGGGAAAGGCCUUAUGGUCGCAUCUGGAGGAGCCCGCGUCCGAUUAGCUGGUUGGUGAGGUAAUGGCUCACCAAGGCGACGAUCGGUAGCCGGUCUGAGAGGACGGACGGUCACACUGGGACUGAGACACGGCCCAGACUCCUACGGGAGGCAGCAGUGGGGAAUUUUGGGCAAUGGGGGAAACCCUGACCCAGCAACGCCGCGUGGAGGAAGAAGGUUUUCGAAUCGUAAACUCCUGUCCCACGAGAAGAAGCAAGUGACGGUAUCGUGGGAGGAAGCCCCGGCUAACUCCGUGCCAGCAGCCGCGGUAAUACGGGGGGGGCGAGCGUUGUUCGGAAUUACUGGGCGUAAAGGGCGCGUAGGCGGUUUCGGAAGUCAAGGGUGAAAGCCCCGAGCUCAACUCGGGAAUUGCCUUUGAAACCACGGAACUAGAGUGCUGGAGAGGAAAGCGGAAUUUCCAGUGUAGCGGUGAAAUGCGUAGAUAUUGGAAGGAACAUCUGAGGCGAAGGCGGCUUUCUGGACAGACACUGACGCUGAGGCGCGAAAGCCAGGGGGAGCGAACGGGAUUAGAUACCCCGGUAGUCCUGGGUUGUAAACGAUGAACCACUUGGUGUGGGGG